GGGCCCGCACAAGCAGUGGAGUAUGUGGUUUAAUUCGAAGCAACGCGAAGAACCUUACCAAGCCUUGACAUCUCCUGCAUAGCAUAGAGAUAUGUGAAGUCCUUCGGGACAGGAAGACAGGUGGUGCAUGGUUGUCGUCAGCUCGUGUCGUGAGAUGUUGGGUUAAGUCCCGCAACGAGCGCAACCCUUACUGAUAGUUACUACGAGAAGAGGACUCUAUCGGGACUGCCGUUGACAAAACGGAGGAAGGCGGGGAUGACGUCAAAUCAUCAUGCCCUUUAUGGCUUGGGCUACACACGUACUACAAUGGCCGCAAACAAAGGGGACCGAAGGGGUGACCCGGAGGGAAUCCGAUAAAAAGCGGUCUCAGUUCGGAUUGGAGGCUGCAACUCGCCUCCCAUGAAGUCGGAAUUGCUAGUAAUCGCGGAUCAGCAUGCCG
rnacentral:rRNA from 1 species